CAGCCACAUCGUCAGCCCAGACCAAAGGUCAACUAAAACUUCACUUCAGACGCUCCAUUUUGUUUAGCCUGUUUGGAAGACUGUCUUUCAAAGAGACGAAGGAAAGAGGGAACUUGUUUUAUCGGCUCUUCUCAUUCUGUCGCCAAUUGUGAUAUCCGGUGUAACCAGUCCCUCCAUUCAAAAGACGCGCGGUGAAGAGAGUCUGAGGGGAUUCUGUGGGAAUCAGAAGACGGACACAAAGCAGGUGGGUGAAAUAUGUCGGUUAAAAAAGAAACAUAAGUUAUUGUUAGAGACGUUUGUAGUGAGUGUUGUAUAUGGGUAAGAAUCAAACUGACGCAGAUUGGUACA
ensembl:lncRNA